rnacentral:ncRNA from 3 species
AGCUGCUAAGCUAUGGAUCCC